CUCUAUAAUGAAUAGAUAUAGAAGGAAAUGUAUCUGAAAGUCUAACUUAAUCCUAUAGAGGAGCCUAUACUUUGUGAAAACAGAGGAACUGGUUAAAAGAAAUUACUUCCUUGGAUUAAUUUUUAAGUCCAGACAUUAGAGUACAUAAAAACUGUCUGUUUACCAUCUAUCUAUCUCCAACUUAAAGAGGAAGCUCAUGUAUAAAAAGGAGAAAUCAUAAACUACUCUCUCCCAUAAUGAAUGGAGUUUAUAAUGCAGGAUUUGAUAAUUAUUUAUUAAGGGUUUGUGUACUUCCAAGAAUGAUUUAGAAGAAGUGUCUGGGACACUAAUGGAGCUGAGGCUUUUGGGGGGUUUCUAUGUGAGCCUGAAAGCAAAGUAUAUCUUUGCUUUAAGAAUACAUUUAUUUAAAUUAAACAACUCCUUAAAACAAUGGCAUAUUUUUUCAGAAGCCUGAAAAGUCCUGGCUCCUUUAAUGAAUAGCAGAAGUAUGGCACAAGAAGUAUACUCUUGUGUGAGGCCUGAAGCUCCUCUUCUGAACAGUUUUUGAAGACUGCCCAAUCCUAAUUACUAUAACUUUACAGACAGGGUAUAGUCUCUUAUAGCAUUUAGCAAUUCAACAUUUAUAGUGCAUUACCAGAUCAUGCCACAGAGGGAAAAAGGGGAAACAAUGGCAUGGCUUGGCAAACAAGUAAAAUGAAAAUAUUAAAUUUGACAAAUAAAUAAACAAAUGAAGCAGAUAUAGUUUGAUUGCACAAUUUAAUAGCUGUAAGCUAUUUCCAAGUCUUCCAGUCUGUCAGAACAGAUUUUGAGCACAAACAGCAAAUACAGAAUAAAGGAGAGAAAAAGAAACUUCUGUUGCAUUAACGAUUUAAAAAAAAAAAUCAAUUAAACAAAAUUAUAUAUGAAGUAUUCUUAGCCUAAGAAAACUGGAAUCUAAUAUAAAUACUGACAUCUGGUAAUAGAAAUCAAAUCACUGAAAUGUAUUAUUAUCUUAUGCCUCAUCACAAUGAUAAGUUAAAUGUGGAGGUGAUCAACUAACUGAAAUCUGUUUAGAAUACAAGAAUUAAAAUGUAUUUUAAUAUAAACAGCUUGUUAAGAAAGCACUUCAAAUUCUAAGCAUUAAAAUUUAUUAUUUGUUAAAUUUAUUUGCCACCUCUCUUGCUGUGGGGCUACUUGCAACAGAAAAAAACAGAAAUGAAAAGUGUAAACAUAACAGUACCAAAAUAAUGAAAUAAUAAAAUAAGCAAGGAAAAUACAGCAAUAUGAGAUUUAAAAAUGGAUGGAGAGCAAGCAGGGGAUGGGGGGGAGUGGUAUUUAAUAUAGUAGUAACCUCCAGUGGGUCCCCAAGUUAUUUUAUUUUAUUUAUUUAUUUUGUCACAACAUCAUACAAAAAGAUUAUAUAGUAUAUAAACAUAUAUAUGAGUAAAUAUUAGGAGGUAUAAUCAUAUAUAUAUAUAUAUAGGAAGAAGAAAAGGAAAAAAAACAAUAGGACAGGAACGGUAGGCACGUUUGUGCGUUUAUGCACGCCCCUUAUGGUCCUCUUAGGAAUGGGGCGAGGUCAGUAGUAGAAAGUUUUUGGUUAAAGCUUUUAGGAUUAUAGGAAGAGACCACAGAGUCAGGUAAAGUAUUCCAAGCACUGAUGAUUCUGUUACAGAAGUCAUAUUUUUUACAAUCUAGAUUAAAGCGGUUGACAUUAAGUUUAAAUCUGUUGGUUGCUCUUGUAUUAUUGCAAUUAAAGCUGAAGUAGUCUUUAACAGGAAGGACAUUACAAUAGAUGAUUCUAUGAGUUAAACUUAGGUCUUGUCGAAGGCAACGGAGUUCCAAGUUUUUUAAGCCUAGGAUUUCAAGUCUGGUGGGAUAAGGUAUUUUGUUGUUUUCAGAGGAGUGGAGAACUCUUCUUGUAAAAUAUUUCUGGACACGUUCAAUUGUAUUGAUGUCAGAGAUGUGGUGAGGGUUUCAAACAGGCGAGCUGAUUUCUAGAAUUGGUCUAGCAAAUGUUUUAUAUGCUCUGGUUAGUAGUGUAGUGUUUUUGGAAAAGAAGCUACAUAAGAUUAGGUUUACAACUCUUAGAGCUUUUUUUGCUAUGUAGUUGCAGUGGGCUUUGGCACUUAGAUCAUUUGACAUGAAAACUCCAAGAUCUGUAAGGUAAUGUCCAUUGGGGGUCAUCUGUAAGGUAAUGUCCAUCAAGCAUGUACUUAGUGUUUGGGUUCUUUUUUCCUAUAUGUAAGACUGAGCAUGUGUUGGUUGAGAUUUGGAGUUGCCAAGUUUUAGACCAAGUGGUUAGAUGAUCAAGGUCUUUUUGAAUGAUAGAUGUAUUGUCUGUGGUGUUAAAUAGUUUGACAUCAUCAGCAAAGAGAACACAAUUACUUGUGAUAUGGUCACAAAAAUCAUUAAUGUAUAGUAUGAAGAGUGUUGGUCCAAGGACGCUGCCUUGAGGAACGCCACUCUUGACAGGAACAGGAUUUGAUAGAGCAUUGCCAAUUUUGACCACUUGUUGUCUGUUAGACAGAAAAGCAGAUAUCCAUUUGUGAAGGGGUCCCGAAAUGCCAUAGGAUUUUAGUUAUGAGAAAUUAAAGUUUAGAACAAUUGUUGAUGCUAGUCUACUGAUAGCAUUGCUUUUAAUAUGGAUCCCUUGAAUUCAUAAUUAUAUGUCCUUCUACGAAACAGGCAUUGGCAAGCAUCAAUACAGAUAAAAAGCAAAGGUCUGGUUAUACCCUCAAUCAUUUUAUAUUGAGAUUUCUAGACUUGAACAUAUUAAUUGUGUACAAAUAAUGCCUUAAAUGCUGUCAAGACUUGUUUGCUCCCAACACAGCUAUAUUUCUUUUAUCCCUCUGUUGCAUAGAAGAGUUUAAUGGAUAAUCUCCUUUUUCUCUGGUUCAAAUGACUGAUGGAAGAACUUUAAUAGUGGCAAAGAACUUGUGACCAGCCAGAACAUGUUGGACUACACACACUAGCUGCAUAAGCACCUUGGCCAAUGGCAAAGGAUGCUGAAAAUGAUAAUUUAAAACAUCUGGAGAGUUCUACUACAUCUCCUGAGAAUUUACAGGAUGGUUCAUAAGUGAAGUUCAUUAACAGGAGAAGAGUAGCUAGGUAUUGGCAAGGAUACCUACGAAUCAUAUACCAAUGAUUCCUUGACCUACUACAAAAAUUUUCUUUACAGUGCUAUAAAGUAGGAAAAAUACAUAUAGUUUAACUUCAUUUUAAUGAAUUAGCAGAGAAGUGCAUAAAUCUUGGAAUUGUUUAUUUACUUAACAAAUAUACGUCUAUUAAAUAUGAAAGUAUAUAUAAACUGAAUAAAUAUCAUUUCCAUGAUGACAUCAUUGCAGAAAUGAUACAAAUCUGUCACUUGCAACAGUUUUCAUCAAUUGUGCAAUGAUGUUAUUACAUAACUGAUCUAAAUCACCAUGCAUAUUUGGUGCUUUAAAGGUAAAGAAAGGUAAAUCAAGAUUUCACUGUACUUUCACUGGGCAGCAGAGGGAUAUUACAAAAUGUCUGAAAAACUGAGGUAAAACAAGUAAGUGUGAAGGGAAGUCUGUUGAUGGAAGAUCAAAAAGUCAAAUGUGGCCAUGAAUGUGCAAUCAAGGCAUUAUUGCCCCCUUCCCAUUUUUUAAAUGUAUAUCAUGAAUCAAGGGUUCGCGAGAAAACCAUUUUCUAUUUGUGAUGUUAAACAUUUUAAUAUAAAUGUUUGAAUUGUCCAUUCUGUGGUAUAGGGAAAUAUGCAUGUCAGAAUAAUUUUUAAAAGCAAAUGUUAACAUAUUAAAUAUUCAUGACUCACUUUGCGAUUCUCAUACUUGUAAUUUGUUGAUCCAAAGAAAGCACAGUGUACCUAUUUUUAUAACAUCAAUGAUUAAACAAAUAAAAAAUGACCAUUAAAGUGAAUGUUUCAGUUAGGUAAAACCACUACUUUUGGGGUAGGGCUAUACUUAUGAUCAAGUUACACAUUUUGAUGCUUUCUGUAGAGUGAAUGAAUGAUUAAAAGAGAAAAAGAAAAAAGAGAUGUCUACUUAAAACUGGUAACCAAAAUCUGGUUGUCAAGCAACAGAACCACUGUUCGCUUAGUCUGCCAUUUUAAAGAGAUAAAGUAAUUACAUCAGUUAUUUUACCCUGAGGUUAUCAAUACAUACAUACUUCAUUGAACUCAGAGUUUCUAGAAGUGUUCCCUGUCCCUAUAAAUUGAAAGUUACAAAGUAAUAUUUCAGCAUUUCUUCAGGAUACUUCUCAAAAGUAAUCAAAUUUAAUAAGAAUGUUGAAUCUCAUUACAUUUUGUUAAUAUUUGAUAAGAUCCCAACAGAAAUCAUGACAUUUCAGUGCUGUAAUGGGAGGGUACCUAAACUAUUGGGUACUUUAAAAAAUACUAUAAAAUUUAGUUUUUUUUAAAAAAAGCAACAGAAAUUCACUAAAGUUGAUAGACAUGCUUUAAAUUCAAGUGAGGUUUGGAAAGAAAUGGAGGGGGGAAAAUCAGGAAUGUUGGAUUUAAUUUCUCAUAGACGAAGAUGGAUACAUAAUCUAGCCAAUAGAAAUAUACUCACAAACCUGUACUUUACACAAUGGUAGUAAAUAUUGUAUCCAACCUUUGAUAGGGAGAAAAAAUUUUUUUGUUCCAAUUUAUACCGAGGAGCUAAAGUUGGGGAAACGUUCUAGAAAUUCACACCAAAAGUCUGAAUAAAUUCUGAAUAAGUCUGUAUGAAGAAUCCUAUCUCUUGAAAAAUGUUUAAUACUAACUCAAUGGGAUAAAAAGACUCCAAAGUUCAUCAUUAUUAAAUUGCUACGCAUCAUUUUAUGAAAGACUAUACUACUGCUGUAUUCUUCAACCAAAUUUGCUUGUUUAAUAUUAAGCCAUUAAUAUCAAAUAAGCUAGUCUUGAGACCAGACUUGGUAGCUAGACAAAUUAUGCUGAGGGUUGCUUAAACAAACAAUUUCUUGUAUACACCAUGAAAUGGGAGUAUUGUGUAUAAUAAUAUGAUUUCCAUCAUUCCCUCUUCAGCCAUAUAGUAUUUAAUUUAGAAAUAAUUUCCCAAUCUAGAAAUUACGUUGCUCUAAUAUUCUGCUCUAAUAUACGUUGCUCCAGAAUAUUUUUUACAAUGGCAGAUCUUCAAUAGCGCAAUUGCACUAUUGAAAUUGUUCCAGUGAUGUGCUUCUGGAAAUAUAAAUUCAAAUAUUAUUUCCUGCUUCCAUAAAAUUCCUGCUUCCAUAAAACCCUAUUUAGAAAAGGAAUAAUAAGUAUUUCAAAAGAAAAAAAAAGAAAAUUUAAAAGUGACGGGAUCAAAGGCUAAAUAACAUAUUUAGCGAAAAGUACAAAAAACGGAAAUAAACCAAAAAAUAUACAGAUGAAAAUGUUUAAAUAAUUGCAUGUAUUCACAAAUGAAAAAAAUGUCAAGGAAGAACUUUACAUCAGAAAGGGAUAUAGGAGGAAAACCACCAUAUUCUAAAUUACACUGAUAUAUUUGGAAACAGUGGGAAACCAGAUUUCUGUUUUCUCAAUGAAGACCACAUUUUUAAAUUUUAAAUUGCAGGUUAUGUCAAAUUAACAGCAAUUAUGCUGUUAAAGCUAGCAAAUAAACCACAUGUCUAUAGCUGACUAUUAGGGAUGGUGCAAAAAUGUGAAGAAAAGCACUCAAAAUGACAAUGCUUCUUUUUAAAAGUAUCUCCCUUUAUUCUCAACCUGGCUGAAUAUCUGCUGAUUUUGGCCUAAUUCAAAAUGGUGGUGGUAGCUCAUCCCUGCCACCACCUUGUUCUUUCUGACAGUCUUCCUCACAUUUCUCAGGCAACUUGAUAAAUACGUUUUUGGCUUUUUUCUUAAAUAUUAAAUAAUAAAGUACCAUCUCUGAACGUUCUUGAGUAAUUAAUACAUGUUACCCCAAACAUGAAAGGAUUAUUUCAGGGAUGUAUAUAGUACUACUGAAAACAUUCAGUGGACAGUGAUAGAAAAAGAAUGGAUUCAUGGAGUACAGAAGUUUAAAUUGAAAAUUGUAAAAAAGAUUCUGAGCAUUUGAACUGUCGCCUUUGCUUCUUGCUGGAUGUAUUAAUUUUUCUGUAAAAUCCAUCAUGCAAUUUUCUGUGCACCCACACAAAUUUCCUAAUCGUGAUCUCAGCAGAAUUUUAACACUUUCAUUUAAAUCUGAUUUGGGCCUUACAGAAAGUCUGAGUAAUUCAGCACAGGGGUAGGUAUGUCUGUAAUGAGGGAAGUCAAUAAUUCAUCAAGACAUUAUCUGAAAUAUCACAUUUUACCUCACGCCUACUUGGUAACAAAAUGUUGAAAUUUAUAUUAGGAUAGGCAGACUUCAGACUCACUGAAGUAGUGAGGACAAGGAAAGCAUGAUACAAAAUGGUGGAUUAUAGCAAAUGCACAGUAAUAUGAAAUGAAAAGAGUAAUUACUCAAGUGAAAGACAACCUCGCACAACAUCAAGAACUGAGAGAUACUCUUUACUUUUAGGGUUAUAAAGAUUUCAUCUAGGAGACAAUGGGUUUUCUAGCGAAUAGAUUAUUGGCAAAAUUGCGGACAAUUUUGCAUUUGCAAAGAAGGGAUUUUUUUCCCCAACUAAAGUAAGCCCUCCUAAGAAUGAGAGAAGCUAGAAUCAAAGUCUGUCCUCAAUAUUACUAUUACAAUGGGAAACAGGGAAUAUAGAAAGAAUUAAUGAAAUAUUCCUUGUUUCACAGUUUGCAAAAGCAGUUGUUGAAGCUCUACAUUCAACACGUGCUUUUAGUGUGCAGAGCUAAGAUAUCUUUCUGUUUAUUGUCCUGAAAAAUUGCUAUUAGCAGAAAAAAAUGUUCUGUUAACAGCACAAUGUUUACAAAAAUUCAAUUGCUUAUUGAUGGGAUUUUUUUAUUUUCGGAGAAACAAAUUUUGUUGUUUUGGACAACAGAGGCCUAAAUUAAGCUUGACAUAAAGAGGCCAGAUUUAUCAACACAAAUCAAAGCCACUAAAUUCCAUUCCAACCUUGCAUGGCAAAUGGCAUAUAGUUUGCUGUAGAGUAGUUCAUCAAAGUUUGUAUCAGCGGCAACCGGAGAAAGGCUCUUGAAUGUGAAAGGGAAAAUUAAGCAAAGUGGGUAUUUUGAAAAAUUCACCCACCUUUCUUGUUUCCAAAAAACAUCUUAUAUAGAUUUAUCCCAAUAAAAAACAAAUUGUGAUAUCACAUAACAAAUCUUGAAGAAUAUCACAAAACAAUCUUUUACCCCAAAUUGUCUUGGUGAAACCCAAAAUUGUGUCAGCGAAACAAAAAGAAAAUUUGAACAAGUAACAAAUCAUCAUUUAAAUGAUAGUACAGAACAGAUUGCAAAUAGUUAACACUUACAAAAUACUGAGAUGAGGAUAACAUGGCCGAAUUCUCCCUCUUCUUGAAGACAGCAUAUAAAAUUCCUCCAAUCAUUCCUCCAAAGGUCUAAUUAUUUCUUUAUCCCUUUGUUAGCUGUAUCAAAAUUUAUGUACCCAGAAAGGGGCAUUUCUUGCAAUGUCUUUCAGCCUUGCAAAACUAGACAAUCUUAGCAGGGGCUGCCAUGUUGAAUUGCAAGUCUGAUAUGAUUCAACAAUUUUCUUUCUCCUGCGUAGGGUGGCAAAAAUCCAAAAUAAAAUAAAAAAAAUUAGCUUCCAAUUACCCAGAAUCAAAAUAUUUUGAAAAAUCAAAAGGAAAUCCUGAUUAACAGUCAGGAGAAAUAAUAAAUAAUAAAGCCCACCAACAAGUUGGGUUGGUUUUUAAAAAAUGGAAUGUUUUAACACAAAAAGCGAGAAGAAUGGAGGAGGGAAGAAAGGAUGUAGGAGUAGCAAGUGCCAAAGCACUUGGACAAAUAAAAUGGCAUUUUAAAAUAUUUUCAAAAGAGCUACAUUUGAUUUCGUACCAGAAAGAGAUGUGCCGGGAAGGAGAAAGAUUUUGCUGCUCAGUAGCCGAUUGCUUUAACUUCGAUGAUCUGGACAAUCAUCAGGAAUGGUUUCUUUUUUCAAGAAAGGCCAGUUUCAGUGAAACAGCUCCCCCCCCCAUGCGCUCCCUUUUCCUUCUCAGAGCAGUUCAGCGCCAAGAAAUGGGCGGUGCCUGCAUGCCAGGCUUCAUCCGAAUGAGACGCCAAGGCCGACAAGAGGCUGGCAUAAAGAGAAGCUGGCACAAAUUCCUCCACUUGGAACUCCACUUCAAUAUACCCUUCAAAUAGUCUCCCUUUAUUAGCAAACUAGGGGUAAAAAAAUCCAUGGAACCCCACCCCCACAAGCAAAUAUCUCUAAAGUUUUUCAGUCUCUAUUGAGAACCAUUUCCAAAGGGCAAUUUCAACCAAUACCUAUUCUUUCAACCCAUGCCAGUUAAAACAAGCAGCUCAUUCUCUCUUCUCUCUGUUUUAGCAGCCCAAGGUAUAUACAUAAAAUAAAUGUUGACUUCUACUUUCCUAACUUGAGAUGUUGGAGGCGGCAACCUCCUUUAAAACACUGCCAAAGAAGAUGAAAGACAAAAUGAAACAAAAAGGAAACAAACACAAAACAACCCUCUUAUGUUAUACAAGAAGCAGUUUCGUUUUGCGAAAUGUUUCUUUUGUCGGCGGCAAAAAUGGAGUUAAGAGGCAUAAAUGGAGAUGAGGAUGGUUUAAAAACAAAUCAAAGCAAGCAAACAAACUACCGGGAUAUGCCAGAAGAGGACACCCUCCCUCUAGCUCCCAUUUUCCAUUUUUUCCUGUGCCAGUCUUAGAGAGAGCGAGAGAGAGAAAAGAAAUUAAAAAAAGAAAGAAAGCGAGUAAGCGAACGAGCGAGCGAAAGGGGCAGUGAAUAGCUGCUCGUUCAGAAAUGGGCCUACAGCCAUUUCCACUUUGGAAGCCUCAGCAGUCGUUCUCUCUCUCUUUCUCUCUCUUUCGCUCUCUCUCUCUUGCUUUCCCUCUCCCCGCAUUCUCCCUGCCCACUCUGGCUUAGCUGCCAAGUCAGAGUUGGCACUGCUUCCCAGGCAGCACGGAACAAAGCCAUUUCCCAUCCCUGUACAGGCAACUGUCAAUAAGCAAAGUGACAGUCACAUCUCCUGCAUGUUAAUCCUAAUGGACAGGAGAUGUUUGCAAGAGAAUAAAAAGCCCCUUCACCCCUCCAAAGCCGUACAAUAAAAUCAUUUAAAAAAAAAAUUAAAGGAAAAAGCCUCCUUCGUCGACCCUGUUUGGAAGGAUCAUUUAAAAAUACAGCUGUCUGCAAUAAGGAUUGGAGAGGGAAAGAAAGCGGGGGAGAGAAGAGGGCUUACCCACCAACACCCUGGCAAACAAGGCUGCUUUGCAUCUGUUGUACCUGUUCCUGUUGCCUUUCUUGCCUCUUGGAAUCGUGACAAGAGAGAAAAGUCGCCUCUGGUGGGUUGCUCAAAGCUGCGGGUCUGCAGCCCUGUGCAGGAAGUUGGCACCGAUCCCAGGCAGCGCAAAAGGCACCCCCAGAUUGCAGUGACGUCAUUUUCUCCUCUCUUCCAAGUUUCACAAAGGUUUCUUGAUUUCUCCAUUCCUGGUCCAAUUGACACUGUCCUGUGGCCAUUCAGCUUUACUCUAAAACUCACUGGCCCGAUUUCCUUCCUUUUGUGCAGGCAGCACGACAGAAAGACAUUAAGCGGACAAGGUUCAGUGACAAGGAAUCAAAAACUCUUCGGUUUUGAACAGUGGUAUUUAAAAGGUUUUAUAGAAACUCAAUUUUAAAAAUAUACCGCUUUUUUGUUUUAUG